rnacentral:lncRNA from 1 species
AUUUGAGGGACCAGAGAAACUUGAUCAGAAAUAGCCAAGGCUUCUCCGUUCCCAUAAGAGAGGAGUGGGCCUUUAAAAAACUGAGCUGCUUCUUGCAGUUUGUUCCCCUUCCAACAGGAGGGGAUCCAGUUGCCUUUCCAGCACUGUGGUUCCAAGAUGGAAUCUUCUAAAAAUUGAUGAUUCUUCAUGGGUCUCCAAUACCCACCAUGUUAAAAAAGGGAUGUGCUACAAAUUGUCCUUCAACGAAUUACACCUUCUCUACAUUUGAAGGUUACUUAAGGAGUGUCAUUGUUUGCUGCCAAGAUGACUUUUGCAACGAAAGAUAUAUUCGUGAUCCAUCAUAUGAAAACAAUGGGCUAAUGUGUCAUGCUUCUGGCCCAGAAGAUUAUCCGAAGUGGGAAAAUCUCAGCUGUAAUGGUGAUGAGACUCGAUGCUUUGAGUUUGUCCUUGUUCACGGUAAGUAUCAC